rnacentral:rRNA from 1 species
UACGUAGGGGGCAAGCGUUGUCCGGAAUCAUUGGGCGUAAAGCGCGUGUAGGCGGUCCGGUAAGUCGGUUGUGAAAGUCCAGGGCUCAACCCUGGGAUGCCGGUCGAUACUGCCGGACUAGAGUUCGGAAGAGGCGAGUGGAAUUCCCGGUGUAGCGGUGAAAUGCGCAGAUAUCGGGAGGAACACCAAUGGCGAAGGCAGCUCGCUGGGACGUUACUGACGCUGAGACGCGAAAGCGUGGGGAGCAAACAGG